rnacentral:rRNA from 1 species
AUUGUAGUCUGCAACUCGACUACAUGAAGCUGGAAUCGCUAGUAAUCGUAGAUCAGCAUGCUACGGUGAAUACGUUCCCGGGUCUUGUACACACCGCCCGUCACACCACGAGAGUUUGUAACACCCGAAGCCGGUGGAGUAACCUUUUAGGAGCUAGCCGUCGAAGGUGGGACAAAUGAUUGGGGUGAAGUCGUAACAAGGUAGCCGUAUCGGAAGGUGCGGCUGGAUCACCUCCUUU